UCAGAUCUCCCUGCCGCCGACUCUUCGUAACCGCCGCCCACGUACGAACUCCCUCUCCCCACAUCGACGCCCUCCCACUAGGCUUGCCGUUGUCAUGCCCUUCACCACCGCGUCCUCAUGCCUCGAGGCCAUCCCCAACAUCGUCGUGCGCGUCGAGCUCCUCUGCUCCGCCCAGAUCUCUUCAACCCUUUCCCUCUCUCCUCUGCUCCGUGUCCUCGUGCCUCAAGGCCAUCUCCAACCUUCCCGACCGUGGUGGCGUUAGGCGAGCAGCACGCAGCGGCAUCUGCCCCUGGCACAACUCAUCCAUCCUCAACCAGGUAAUUAGCCCUACACGCAUGUUCAUAACUGCACACACGUAUGCCUUUGAAUCCUACUGAUUUUCCAUCGACCACAAAUCCCUCGAGGACACGGCGCUCCUCUCCCGAACGAGGUCGAUCCGCUCCUCCUCCUCUCCCGAGGAUACGCAGCCGCCGCCGCCGAUCCGGGCAGACGCUGCCAUCGUGGAUCACGUGAACGCCGCCGCCGACUGCCGCCGCGGACCUCCCAGGGCGCACGAGAUCGCCGCCGCCGACCUCACGGGGGAGGGGCGAGCGAUCUCGCCGCCGCCGACCUCACAGGGAAGACGCCCUCUCAUCUCGCCGCCGCCAACCUCACAUGGAAGACGGAUCUCGUCGCCGCGGAUCUGACAUGACAGGGGAGGACCAACUGGUGAAAUAGCUGCAGAAUUACAGGUACGGUGAUGGAAAUCCUGUGGCACCAUUCCUAUCUUAAGAUGGGAAUUACUCAGUGGACAUCUGGAUGACCGAACGAAACCAAUUCUCUUCUCCAUGGCAAGACUUGACCGAGUUAAAAAUAUGACAAAUUGUGACCAAUUUUUCUGUCUCUGCUCUCUUGCAUUAUUUUCAUAUUCAUAUGUUUAUCUCCAGAUCAAAGCCAGAGUGAAGGCGAAGAUCUGGCGAAGGAGGUAGUAUCCGCCUCUUCGGAGACUUACUCCGCUCCGUCCUGCAACACGUGAAGAGCUAGCUCGGAAGGCUUCCAUUCUUGCAGAGGUUUUCUCCAAUCUUUAAUGGUAAAGAUUUUUGUGGUAGGAAUCUCAUUUUCAUUAUUGGUUAUUGUCUUGAACCUGAAACAUUUGAUUGCAUCUUUGUUGCUUGCUUCUUCAAACAUGAGCAUAUGAUGGAACAGUCUGAAGGUUAAUUCAAAUGUAGUGAAAGUUUGAAGGUCAAUGGGUUUUCCAUAUUAAACUUUCAAACAAACCAUUCAUCGACGUCGUGGGAUUCACCUCCGCCAAUGACCAUCACCACCACGACGCCGCCUACGCGAUGUCGCCUGAGGUGAAUGAGUAGCAGCCCACGACGCAUGCGCGGUGGGUGGCUCAUCCGAGCUGAUGCGCCCACUGCAGCGUUCCCAGCAGCAAGAAGUGUGCCGCGUGCAAGCUUAUGUAGUACUGGAAAGCCUCCACCUAUGAUUGGUUUUAUCAUAAAAACUGGUUAGAUAUCGCCGCUGGCGUGGUCACUUUUCCCCACUACCGAAAGCUCUGCGCCGCUAACAGAACGCCCCACCAGUCUCCACCUCCGUUGGCGCCGUCGAGAGCCUCGACUAUGAGGAGCAGGUCCUUCAGGUUCGGUGUGGCAACUUUUUCGUGAUAACAUUUUGAGAUUUCUCCACCAAUCGGCAAAAUUUGGUGCUUAUAAAUAGAAAAUCAAUACCAAACGGAGUCCAAAUGCCACGAAACUUCAUGGAGAUUUUUUAUGGACCAGAAGACCAAUAGUGGGCCAAAUAAGCACCUGGGGGUGCCCCGAGGGGGGCACAACUAAUCGGGAGCCAGUUCCGGCACCUUGCUGGAGGGGGAAAUCAUCACUGGUGGUCAUCUUCAUUAUUCCGGCGGCCACCACGAUAAGGAGGGAGUAGUCCACCCUCGGUGUUGAGGGUUUGUACCAGUAGCUAUGUGUUUAAUCUCUCUCUCGUGUUCUAUAUCAUGGGCUUUGUUAAUAUAGAUGGAUUAUAUGAUGUUUCUCCCCUCUACUUUUGUUGUGAUUAAUUGAAUCUUUACCCUUUGAAGUUUUGUCUUGUCGGAUUGAAUAUUCAAAUAUGAGAACACAUGAUGUAUGUCUUGCAGUAUGAUUACUUGAGGUAUGAUUACUUGAGGUGACAAUGGGGUAUCGUAUUGAUUCA